AAGUCGUAACAAGGUUUCCGUAGGUGAACCUGCGGAAGGAUCAUUAACGAAUUACAUUUGACUGUUGCGCCUUUGGGCUGCACGUCAGACAAUUCCAUCCACACACCCCUUGUGCACCUUUGGGAUGGGGUAACCCGUCCUCAAUUUUCAUAACUCCGAGUAACAGUAUGUCUAUAUCAUUAAACGAAACAACUUUCAACAACGGAUCUCUUGGUUCUC
rnacentral:misc_RNA from 1 species